rnacentral:lncRNA from 1 species
AGUGACUCAGGUUCAGAAAAGGAGUGGCUCUCAACCAGGGGCAGUUGUCCCCUCCGGGGAACACUUGCUAAUGUCUGGACACAGUUUUGGUUGUCACGACUAGGCUGGUGAUGCUGGAGCCACAACAACCACCGGAAACCCCAAGGCGAAGACCAGAGAAUCCCAGAGAUGCAGACAGAGACUUCCUAGAGCUACAGAGUAAGCCAAAUUGGAGUUGCCUUUUCUGGACGUCUUGUUAAGUCUGAUGGGGUUCAUCACAUCUGAGCCAGGACUGGCUUUUCUUGGCUGCAAGCUGAAAGUUGGGUCCAGGUCUGCUGUACUGAGGGUCUCCUAUCUUCCUUGGACAGGGACAACCAGAGGCCUAUUUAUCUCAUGAUGGAAGGCAGGAGAACAAGCAGGCAAGACCAGCUGUGCUAGCACAUGCCACCUCUUUGCCCACGUCACACCUGCUGACGUCCCAUUGGCCAAUGCAAGUCACACAACCAAAGCCAACAUCAACAGGACAAGGAAACAGACUCUGCCUCUAGAUGCACAAACUACAGAGUCACGGACAGAGGACACGGAUCCAGGGAAGGAAGAUGGAGAAUGAGAACAAUGACCCUCAAUAACACAGCCUCCCACAGGUUUCCAAAUCCCCAACCCAGGCAUAUAUCCAAGGAAAUGGAAUCAUGGGUUCAGGUUUUAGAGCAAGCAAUUUCUGCUCUCCCUGCCUAGUUUCCACACCCUUAACACAGGGGCAAUGAUGUCACAUCAAAACAUAUCAUACAAAUUUGUGAUGAUGUUUCAACAACUAAACACCAGAAAAAUGCUUAGGGCAGGGCCGGGUAGGAGGGGCAGAAGCCAAUAGUAACUUAACAUCACUGCUAACCCACAAAGUUCUGGGAAUUUCUUUGAAUGUCUAAUUAGAGAACCAUGUCCCCAAGAAAAAAAAAAAAAAA